rnacentral:rRNA from 1 species
GACGAACCGAGCGAACGUUGUUCGGAAUCACUGGGCUUAAAGCGCGUGUAGGCGGCCUUGUAAGUCUGUUCUGAAAGCCCGGGGCUCAACCCCGGGAGGCGGAUGGAUACUGCAAGGCUCGAGUACGGAAGAGGCGAGUGGAAUUCCCGGUGUAGCGGUGAAAUGCGCAGAUAUCGGGAGGAACACCAAUGGCGAAGGCAGCUCGCUGGGACGUUACUGACGCUGAGACGCGAAAGCGUGGGGAGCAAACAGG